GACGAACGCUGGCGGCGUGCCUAACACAUGCAAGUCGAACGGAAAGGCCCUGCGUUUGUGCUCUACCCGAUGGGCGAUCGGGUGCGUAACAGGUGUUUAACCUGCUCUAGACUUUCGGAUAGCUUCAGGUAACUAGGGUUAAUACCAGAUAGCAUCUCCUGUUGUUGUGUGGGGCUUGGAAAUUUGCGGCGGUUGGGGAUGGACUCGCGGCUUAAGCGCUCGUUGGUGGGGUAGUGGCUUACCAAGGCAUCGACGGAUAGCCGGCCUGAGAGGGUGACCGGCCACAGUGGGACUGAGGUAGGGCCCAGAGGCAUACGGGAGGCAGGAGUGGGAAAUAUUGCACAAUGGGCGGAGGGCUGAUGCAGCGUCGUCGGGUGGGUGAUGACGGUUUUAGGGUAGUAAACCGCUUUAGCCUGUGACGCAGCGUGUGUGACGGUAAUGGAUAAAGAAGCACCGGCUAACUACGUG
rnacentral:rRNA from 1 species